UACGGAGGGUGCAAGCGUUAUCCGGAUUCACUGGGUUUAAAGGGUGCGUAGGUGGGUCUGUAAGUCAGUGGUGAAAUCUCCAAGCUUAACUUGGAACUGCCGUUGAUACUAUAGAUCUUGAAUGCUGUGGAGGUGAGCGGAAUAUGUCAUGUAGCGGUGAAAUGCUUAGAUAUGACCCGGAACACCGAUUGCGAAGGCAGCCCGCUAAGCAAGCAUUGACGCUGAGGCACGAAAGCGUGGGGAUCAAACAGG
rnacentral:rRNA from 1 species